UAUAAAGUCUAACCUGCCCACUGAUAAUUAUUAAAGGGCCGCGUUAUUUUGACUGUGCAAAGGUAGCAUAAUCAUUUGUCUCUUAAUUGGAGGCUGGAAUGAAUGGUUGAAUGAAAUAUUAACUGUCUCAUUUUUAAAAUUAUAAAAAUUUAGCUUUUAAGUCAAAAGGCUUAAAUAAAUUUAGAGGACGAGAAGACCCUAUAGAUCUUUAUAAUUUUAUUAUUUUUAUAAAAUAGUUAAAUAAUUAAUAAAAUUAAUAAAAUUAUUUUAUUGGGGUGAUAGGAAAAUUUAAUAAACUUUUUUUAUUUAUAAACAUUGAUUUAUGAUUAAUUGAUCCAUUUUUAGUGAUUAUAAGAUUAAGUUACCUUAGGGAUAACAGCGUAAUUUUUUUAGAGAGUUCUUAUCGAUAAAAAAGAUUGCGACCUCGAUGUUGAAUUAAAGGUUAUUUCUAGAUGUAGCAGUUUAGAGUUUAGG
rnacentral:rRNA from 1 species